GUGAGGAAUUUUCCGCAAUGGGCGAAAGCCUGACGGAGCAAUGCCGCGUGAAGGAUGAAGGCCUAUGGGUUGUAAACUUCUUUUCUCAGAAAAGAAUUAUGACGGUAUCUGAGGAAUAAGCAUCGGCUAACUCUGUGCCAGCAGCCGCGGUAAGACAGAGGAUGCAAGCGUUAUCCGGAAUGAUUGGGCGUAAAGCGUCUGUAGGUUGUUUAAAAAGUAUUCUGUCAAAGAUUAGGGCUUAACCCUAGAUAGGCAGAAUAAACUUUUAAGCUAGAGUUUGGUAGAGGCAGAGGGAAUUCCCGGUGGAGCGGUGAAAUGCGUAGAUAUCGGGAGGAACACCAAAGGCGAAGGCACUCUGCUGGGCCAAUACUAACACUGAGAGACGAAAGCGAGGGGAGCAAAUGGGAUUAGAUACCACGGUAGUCC
rnacentral:rRNA from 1 species